rnacentral:rRNA from 1 species
GAUGAACGCUGGCGGCGUGCCUAAUACAUGCAAGUCGAGCGAACAGAUGAGGAGCUUGCUCCUCUGACGUUAGCGGCGGACGGGUGAGUAACACGUGGAUAACCUACCUAUAAGACUGGGAUAACUUCGGGAAACCGGAGCUAAUACCGGAUAAUAUAUUGAACCGCAUGGUUCAAUAGUAAAAGACGGUUUUGCUGUCACUUAUAGAUGGAUCCGCGCCACAUUAGCUAGUUGGUAAGGUAACGGCUUACCAAGGCAACGAUGCGUAGCCGACCUGAGAGGGUGAUCGGCCACACUGGAACUGAGACACGGUCCAGACUCCUACGGGAGGCAGCAGUAGGGAAUCUUCCGCAAUGGGCGAAAGCCUGACGGAGCAACGCCGCGUGAGUGAUGAAGGUCUUCGGAUCGUAAAACUCUGUUAUUAGGGAAGAACAAAUGUGUAAGUAACUAUGCACGUCUUGACGGUACCUAAUCAGAAAGCCACGGCUAACUACGUG